AUUGAUGUGAUGAUCCUUUCUCAGAUGAUCUAUAUUAAUUAUAUUGUGCGUUUGUUGUAUUUUCUCUUUUUAUUAGAGAAUCUAUCAAGCCAGAAUUCUGAUCUUU
rnacentral:snoRNA from 1 species